rnacentral:lncRNA from 1 species
GCCGCGCCCAUCCUGAUGGCUGGAGGCGUCUGAGGGGCGGACGGCGACGGCGGCGGCGGCGGCGGCGGGGGGCGGGCGCGGGCGGCGAGGGCAGCGGGGCUGGGACUGGAACAGCCGCCGCGCGGACCCGACCAGCCUCGCCGGCUCCUGCCCGCAGGCCGCGAGCGCGACGACCGGGUCGACCAGGCGGCGGCGUGGGCGCCAGACGGGGCGAGAUGUGGGCUUCUGCACCUUGUUUAUGUGGUGCUGUGGACUGAAUCGAGGAAUUUGUGCAUGCUGAAUAACCAC